ensembl:lncRNA
UAUUCUCCCUCCUCCCCUUCCCUGGGCUUCCCAGCACAACAGCUGUGGGAUAUUUUUUUGAGCCACGCGAGGGGAGGGGAUUACCAUUAGAAGGACGGACGAGUUCUCUAGCGAGUGGACACACCGACCAAAGGGGGGGGAGGAGCGAAGAGAAAGUUCAUGUGCAACAGAUCUACUCCUAACACAUGAAAAACUAGUGGGGAGACAUUACUAUAGGUCUGGAGGUUUAUGUGUCAGUCUUUUGCCACGAGGCAAGGAGCAGGCGACUUCCCACGGCCAGGGUGGACUAUGUCCUGGGGGUUUCCUCUCAGUGUGGAAUAUGAGUGACACCCAACAGAAACUAGAGAGAAACUGAAGAAACAAGUCUCUCUCUCUUUCUCUCUCUCUCUCUCUCUCUCUCUCUCUGAGGCACUGGGGAAGGCUGGUGAGUGGACUCUUUCUUCAUGGCAACUUCAGUUUGUAAACAGGUUUGACUGACACGAGCAAAAGCAAAGAGGUGUGCAGAAAGGCUAAAAGAAGAUGCACCAAGAGACAGACGUUCUUUAACUUAACUGAUACUGACAACUAAGUGUGCAAAUUAAAUGUCUUGAGGCUUAAUGAGGCUUAAUUUCAUUACCUGAACAGUUUCAAAAGAGUGAAAGUUUCAUACAAGACACAAAACACCUCUGUUCUCACAGCUGCUGACAUGCUCUCGAGCAGACACUACAUAUGAAAUGUUGAGGUGGAAACUUCACUAUCUGCACAAUAGUUGCAUGCUUAAUGAACAAUGGAAAAGAUAUCACAGAGCUCAAGCACAAUAAAUCAUGCAGCAUCUGUGAGUGACAUCUGUCCCUCAACGUGUCACUGGCAACAACAGUGUAAUUUCCCAUUAGAGGCAAUCAACAUCAUAUAAACUAAAGCAAUUUGCAGUCACAGAAACAAAAUCAAAUGUGUGGAAAGUGCUUCCAGUUUUAGAUAUUAUUGCGUUCUCUUGGCAACUCUCUUGGCAACUCUUGUACUUUGAGUGCGAAAGUGCAACAGGUUUCACUGGCAAAGCUCAAGGCACGAUGAUGAGCUACAGAUGUGUUUUGGUAUGUGUGGUAUUUAACGGGUUAAAUAGUGAGAGAAGAGACAGAGAUAUUCUAUCACACUGAUAAGACAUGAGGUAGUGGGACUAGGUGGGAGGGGGAAACCGGAGGGGAUGAUUCAGUCCCGAGGAAUCAGGCUGAUGUCAGUUACUCGAGACUAAUCAAAAACAGUCCUCUGGCAUUCUCAGGGCUGCUGGGCCUUGAUAGUGCAGUACGCUCGCUUCCUUUUCCUGUGUUUGUUGUGGGAGAGGUCAAAAAAGUUCAAUUCCCACAGAGCUCAAAUAUGAUAGAAGUGCUUAGACAUUUAAACUACCUUGACAGAACAAAGGUAAAAAUCAAGGCAAAGCUUGAACAAGUUUGAAUGAGUAAUCUAAGCUAUUUUUUGCAAGAACUGGUAUUUAAACCGUAGGGUUUUCAUAACACAAGCAUGUACAAAUGGUAGCUCUCCUCGUGAAACCACUUAUGGCCUAAUUAUAUAGUUCAUUAUAAUUCACUUAGUAAAUUCUUAGUAAAAUUAGAGCUUAGGAAUUCAUAUAAUGUUGAUAUCAUUAUUGAAUUUACAACUGUCAAAAAUAUGUACAUAAAUAUUAUUCAAAUAAAAAGUGAAUAAAUACAUUCUAUUUUAUAAUAUGUCUUAUUUAUUCCUUGUUUCACACGUUUCAUACAGUAUAGCUCAGACCUUCUCUAAUGAUAUAUUGAUUCUGAAGCUGUUAUGUAUGUGCACAACCUGAAUAUAACACUGGCAUAACAAGAACUGCUCAGGCCCAUGUUCUCCAUCUCCUUCCCCUUUCCCAUAGAAAGCUGAAACCAAAGGGGACAGCAUUGCAAUCCCCCCACCCCCCCUCCUCUCUUAGGAGUACUCACAGCCUCCGGAUACUUUCGCUCCCGUCAGCUGUCCCUCUCAAUCUGAUCUCAGGAAGCCCUGGCACUCUGGCUCCAUGGACUCCGCCGCAGGGGAACAGAAUGUAACUGACCAAACCCAGGUCACCAACACAGGUGAGUGGGCCACGAUUCUCACAGUGCACCCUAUAAAUAAUGAUACAAAAACACUGAAAAAAGGUGCCAUGUACAUAACAGCACUGCUGUGAUAUUUAGAAACGCAGAGUCAUUGUUAUUCCAUCUUCAAAAGGGCACACAGGAGACGUGUCCUGUAGCUCUGUUUUGCUCUGCAUGCGGUGGCUGUCAGCGCCUUUGCACGCCGUAGUUGUACUAGCCACACGACAACAUUGCCCAAACAAGACUGGGGAGGGCAAUUGUAUGUGCAUGUGUGAACAAAAUACAGAUACACUGGAAAAUAACCCCGUAGCCAACAUAAUAAUACAACCUUUGCAAUGGCUGAUAUUCAUUGAAUUAGCCUGAUAAGGUUCUUGGUAAUAUGCAUAACAAUUAUGGAUAUAGACACUGGAAAUAGAUUAAUUGCCAUAUAAGAAUGUCCCCGCCCCAAACACACAAUCAACAGACACUUUAAUUAAAUCAAAUAAAGGGGCCCCCAAAUGAAUAUGUGACAUUGACCAACCUGGUAAAUACAAAUGAUUAAUUUCAGUUUGGAAACUGUCACCAUUAGUAAAAUGGGAAGAAUGAGAAAAUGCAUUCUUCAAGCGUAUGCAUGACUGUAAAUGGAUACAUCUCAGAAUUCAGGCUGCUCAUUUCAUCUCAAGAUUGCUCUCAGUUUACAGUGGCAUUUGAUAUAUAGUGGUAAUUCCGUUAUCCAAUUUGUAUCAAUGUCAGUGUGAAGAACUGCUGUCAGUGACAUUAUUACAUUUUCUUGAGCCAUUUACUGUUUGAAGAGGUCACAUUUGGAGAUGUUAUGCGGCAUACCUGAUAUGAAAACAGUAGAAGCCUUCCUACACCUGGCAAUACAACUCCCCAAAGCAAUUUUCUCAUCAAAUUACCCAUCAGAAUAAUAACAGAUAUAUUAUGACAGAAAACUGAACUAGCUGAAGUCCUACUUUGUUAAUGCCUUCUUUGUGGUUCAGCGAAAGACAGCUGACCAUACGGUGAGCAUAAUUUCGAUCACACCCUUUAACGUGUCAAGUUUAGUUUUCAACACCUAAACAUUAGGAGGGCGUCGAGUUUGACUCAUGUAAGUAGUGUGAAUGAGAUGAGAUGAGAUGAGACGAGUCGAGGCCCUGUCUGAUGACAGGAGGCAAACAAUGCAGCGAAGCUUCGAAAGAUCACAACUGAAUGUGUUUGGCUAAACCAGCUGCCACCAGCUGUGAAAACAACAAAACACAGUAGACAAAGCCAAACCACUUAGACAACACUCCACCUGACACGCACAAAGCCUAUGUGCUCUUUUUCAGGCAAACAAGAAAAUGCUAUGCAAAAUCAGUAAGAAUCAUUACAUGCACAAAUUAUAUAAGGUUCAUCUAACAUUGUUGCUGUACCUCUGCAAACAUAUAUGGUUUGUGUACUCUAUCUAUCUUUAUCGAUUUUGUAGUACAGUAGUAUAGUAAGUAAAGAGGACUUUCACUUUUCCUGAAGUUGGUGAACCAGAUCUCAAAUCACAAAUUGCGUGCUGCAGUUGCAGCCUGAGAGGGGAAACUGCAUGGCCGGAACUGUGUCCUCUACACAAAUAUCCUAAUGCAAACAAAACUGCCCUGCCAAUAUGUGACAGAGGAAUAACAAACAUUGUAUGGGUCUGCUCGUCUCCUGCUGUUUCCCAUUUAACCUCGUCGAUUUUACAUCUGCCUGUUACCAGAGGCUGGGAAAACAGAUAAGCAGCUCCUCCACUCCAAAGGGAAAACAAUAUUGAAAAACUGGGAUAUGGCAUCAAUUCAGCCAGAACAGUUCAAAGAAUGUGUGAAAGCUAAUAACCGCUCACUCUAACGUGGCAACAAAUACAAGAUUCCCAAUUUAGUGAGCGCUCUCGCUGCGUGCAGCCACUGAGAGAGUGAGGUGAAAAUAACACAAGACUUCAUUCUGAGCUUAAAAGGCUUGUUUACAUUUUGUGAUGGGAAACACUCAGGGGGUUAGAUCAUGCAGUGUAUUUGCAUAGCAUUUGGUAUGUAAGGAUAAUAUUUACCAUACCCUUCACCGCCGGUGUCCCUGGUGGGUGUGGGCAAAAUCAGAUUUGAUGUUGCUGUUAAAUGAUGGUUGCCUGCUGCGAGUUGUUGAUUAUAUUUUCUGUGUAACCUAUGGGUGCACUGACACCGCGUGUUGCCUCAGCCCAUUUACAUGUCCUCAGAGAAUACAGAGUUUUGACAGAAAAUCUCCACAGCUUAUUGGACAUGUGAUUUUCCGACAUUCUAUUCUUAAAGGCAAAUGAGCAGAGACUGCAGUGCUGUCAUGAGCAUCAAUAAUGUAUGUGUUAGUGGAACAUCGGGAUAUUUCAAGAGAAGCCUGUUUGAACUGUAUACAGCUAACAAAUAGCAAAUCCAUCAAAUGAUAUAAAUGUGAAACGUUUAGCUAAGCCGACAAUACAUAAAUAUAGAUCUACAGGGACGAGUUCAAGGCCCUCUAUCAUCUACAGCCCCUUUGUCACAAGAUUAUUUUGUAUUUUCAAUCACGCUCAAUUCACAGCAGAACAAAAGAAAGCCUCAAUUAUCAGGUGGGUCUUUCAAAAGCUGUCAUGCAUGUCAUCCACUCUUUCUCAGUUAGGCCUCCGCCGCUGGGAAAGCGCCCUGUGUAUCGUUGGCACAGAGCCAGUUCAGAGUCUGCACAACAUGUGCAUCCUGACCGUGUCUGUGCUCAUGCACUCCUCUUCUCCCAGAAUGCUACAGCACAACACCAGAGAGACAAAAGCACAACGAGGCUCAGAGGUUGCUAAAGGAAAAGGGAAACGGCUUGAUAUCUGCAUUCAAAGAGACACGAGAAGACUUCUCUGGUUGGGGGGGGGGGAGAAAAAUAAGAGCGGGACGCUGCGUUCGAUAUUUUCUUGGAGAGCAGUGCGCUGCAUGUGCACCCAGGGAGUUGGAAAUGUUUCUCAGCCCUUGGGGAGGGGGGGAAUGGAAAGGGAAAGGGAUGUGUGAAAUUUGCCAAGAGAAAGUCUGGAGACAGCGCUGGAUGUGAGGAGUUUAUCUCUGGCGUGCAAGGUCCCUCACAUCCUGCUCUUAAGCCCCGCUCUAGUAGAUGGCAAACGUACACUGGCUUCCUCUCCUAGGCUCCAACAACACUAAGAUCUAAACUCACACUGAGUACAAAAAAAGAACGUCGCACUCACACUCUUACACAGUCUUAGUUGAGAUACAUUUGCUGGCUGUGUUUUUGUCAUUUGUUUUGAUGUAUCAGUCUUCCACAGACGCUUGUCGCUAACAGGCGGAGAGGAGCACGAGGCUGCGCACCAUCUGCACCCAAUCAUCCCCAGUCAUCUGAUUCAGUCAUAAGAACUCAUUCCCAUUAGACCCACUGAGUCAUCCACUGUUCACGCCCCCUCCCCCUCGCUUCCUCCCGCUCUCCUUCUCUCUCUCGCUCUCUCUUUCUCUGAACCCCUCCACUCCAAACCCCUACAGCCAGACAGGGAAAGGACAGAGGCCCUGAGGCCAGCUCCAGCCAGUAAAGAGAAGAGACAAGAGGAGGAUUGGGAGGGAGGGGUGUUCUGAUGUUGUGGUUGGGCCAGGUCAUAUGUUUUGUUGAGAUACGAACAGAAUUUGUUCUCUGCUUCCAAUUCUCAGCCAGACGAGACCCUAGGCAAAGGGGGUAUGUGAGG